rnacentral:lncRNA from 1 species
UUUGAUGAGAAAAACGGGACUUCCCAUGUCAAUGGAUCGCAUGAUACUGCAAAACUUGCUGGUCUUCUCGAGAAUUUCAUUAAGAAAUAUGUCCAGUGUUAUGGUUGUGGAAAUCCUGAAACUGAGAUCUUGAUUACUAAGAGUCAAAUGAUCCAGUUGAAAUGUGCUGCUUGUGGUUUUGUGUCUGACGUCGAUAUGAGAGACAAGCUGACUACCUUCAUCAUUAAGAAUCCACCUGAAGUGAAGAAAGGGUCCAAAGACAAGAAGGCCAUGAGGAGAGCUGAGAAGGAGAGGCUGAAGGAAGGUGAAGCGGCUGAUGAGGAGCUUAAAAAAUUGAAGAAAGAGGUCAAGAAGAAAGUAACUUCAAAGGAAAGCACCACAAAAUCAAGCUCUUCAAGGAAAAAAGGGAAUGGAUCUGAUGAAGAUCAUACUUCUCCUACCCACAGUCCAAUUGAUGAGAAUGAUGAAGCUGAAGAUGAAGAUGAUGAUGUACAAUGGCAAACAGACACAUCACUGGAGGCUGCUCGGCUACGAAUCCAGGAACAGUUAAGUGCUGUCACAGCUGAUAUGGUCAUGCUCUCCACAAAUGAACCAGAGAAGGAGAAAGCAGCCACUAAGGUAAGUGACACUCCUAAUAAUGGUAAUGGUAACACCAUUAACUACAAGACUCUGGUUGGGGAACUCAAAGCAAAUUUGAAGAAAGGUGUCUCGGCCAAAGAAUUGGUGUCCCAAUGGGCAAAACUUCCUGUCUCUGCCCAAGAAAAGAUGAGUGCUCUAUAUGAAGCCCUUUUUGGGGAUAUUGAGAAAGGGUUUGCAAAAGAAGCGCUUAAGAAGAAGAGUUACCUUGCUGCUGCUGUUGCUCAGGAAGAGGGUAUGCCAUUGUUGUUGUUGCGUGCAAUUGAGGAAUUUUCUUGCAAGUCCUCUUCCAAUGCACUUAAGGAGGUUGCCCUGGUUUUGAAGGCACUCUACGAUGCUGAUGCCUUGGAGGAAGAGCACAUAUUGCAGUGGUAUCAGGAAGGGCUGAAAGGCGAUGACAAGAACUCUCAACUUUGGAAGAAUGUUAAGCCUUUCAUUGAUUGGCUUCAGAGUGCAGAAUCAGAGUCCGAGGAAGAAUAGUGUUGCCCAUAUUGUUUACUUUUGUUGCUUUGAUCGUGUCUUUUUAUUUUGAAUAAAAGGGUCUUGUUGCCCCUGGUGUUGUUGAGUUUUUCUUUUGAAACUUCAAAUUAUGGCUCGUAAAAUUAUGAUUUUAGACUCUUCAAUGUAUUUUUGUUUGAGUUAUGUUUUAAAACUUGGAAUUGUCAUGCGUGUUUGUGUUUUUCGAUCUCGUCUCUUGUAUUAUUAAAUAUUUUAUAUUUAUUUAAUGAGGUGUCCUUUUUCAUUGCUCUUCCGUUAUUGUUUAACCAAUUAACUUCAACAGCAAGAAGAGACAAUAGCAACUGACUCCCCACGUUAAAUAAUGUGUUUCGUACAAAAUUACACAUCUGAAUAUUGUCAUUAUGUGAUAGAAAACGCCACAACUCAUUUUGUAUUGAUACUAAUAAUCUGAGUAAAGUCAAGCAUAUUACAAUUAGUACAAGCUUUAUCCAUUAAGACUCAUUACAUCAUCAAUAUACUUAAUAUUCCAAUUCUCUCAAACCGAAGUCUUCAAAGCUCCAAGCUUGUUGCAAUUCAUCAUUGCAAUUCAUCAGUGUUAUAAUAAUAUCUUGGAGUAUCUUCUGUGUAUCUUAUAAUAUUUUAGAAUGUAAUAAAAAAUAUUUAGCAUUUAUUAUGGAUUCAAUUGAUUUUCUUAUGCAUAGGUACAUUGAUAUCUUUUCUGUUUAUGAUAUUUUUGCCUCAUAUUCUAUUUUAUUUUAUUUUUUCCUUUGUUUUAGUGGUCCAUAGGAUCUAGCAGGCUGCAAUUUAAGUGGUGUUUGCUGAUAGGCUAUACAGUUGUAAUAACAAAACUGUUCAGUAUUAAACCAAAUGACUGAUUAAAAAUUUAUUUUUUGUUGGAGAGGAUUGUUUUGUAGAGUGAUGAGACUGAAUUUUGUUUUGUAGAGUGAUCAGGUUUGGAAGUACACGACUUUUGUUUGAAUAGCUAGAUCAUGAGGAUGUGACAAUUUUGCUGCAUUUUCAAUAUGUACAGAAAAACUAGUUCGAGGAGAUCUGAACUUUUAGACCAAAUGUAUAAUGGGUGCAUUUUGUUCUCAUAAGAACUCUAACCAAAUGAUAUGCAAGGUUUGAAAUUGCCGUUGCAUUUUGAUUCUUAACGUUGCAUAGACUGGGAAUAAUACAACCAAUUUACUAAGAAAAAUUGGUUUUAAAUGCUGAAAAACUGGCUUAUGAACUAAUUUAAUGAAAAAUCAGUAUAAAAAAUCAUUUUCUUUUUGUCUUAGAAGAGAUGAUCCACCAUCAUUAAUUCUGAAGUCCGACACAAGACGUUCAACUUAAUAAAAUUUAAAUAGGUUUAAGGACAAAUAGAUUAGUCUAUAUAAAAAUAGUUUUUAAACUGGUUUAAAUAUAUUAAAUUGAUUCAUAUUAUAAAUUAGAAUUAAACUACUUUUAAACAAAGUGAGCUUAUUUUAAAAUAAUUUUUAGGAAAUUAUCAAUAUGGUGCAAAAUUUGGUUUAUUGAAUGCACUAUAAUGUCAACUGUUUUCAGUAUAGAUAUUUUUUUUCCCUCUUAUUAUGAACCUUGUCAAAGAGAGUCCCGCUUAUAAAUAUGAUUAAAGUCGUUAUUAAGUUUUAAAGUCUAAAAUCUCGUUAAAAAUUUCCUUACUAAACUUUUAUUAUCAGGUCUUCUAUUGAAAUAACUUUUUUAAAGUAUGAGUUCAUUAUUUUUUGUGAACUUAAGUGAGACGACUCAUAGACCAAUAUUUUGUUAAUUCAUAUUUUAUUUUGAAAUUCUUUUAAAAUUGACUUUUCUAAAAAAAAUAUCAAAAGAAUCUAAAACAUUUUUUCUCAAAUAAAAAAAAUUCGAAAAAAAAUAAAAAAAAUUUAUAAAUCAUAUUUUAUAAAAAAAAAGCAAAACUUUUUUAUCACAAUUUUGAAGAAAAAAUUAUUUUCCUAAACAAAAAGUUGUCAAUUUUAAAAAAUUAACUUUGAAGUUUUCUUUCUCAAAAUCUUUUUAACUAUAAAGUUUUUUUCCUCCAACAUGCAGAGCAAAACCAUUAAUUAGUGAAUUUGUAAAUUGGAUAAGUAUAAAUAUGAUUGAAAGUGUAAUGUGCAUAAUACAAGCAAAACAAUACACUGCAGCAGAUAUGAAAACAACCUUAUUGUAAAUAUGAUCACAACUCUAGAACAUGAACAAUCAGACCCUUUUUCAUUUCUAAUGCUUAAAAACUAAAACACAGAUAAAGUUGUCGGUGUCACAAUCUUAGAAAUUAAUUGAAAAAUAAAAUGCAUUCAUGCAAUAAGUAAUCAAGAUAAGACAAUUAAGUUUGGUAAAUUAUCUUCAAAAGCAAUCUAAAUAUUAAUGUAGAUCUUAAACAGAGAUUCCACACAUUCACUUAAUUAGCUGCUUGAGUAAUUGAAUUAAGGUCGGGUUAAGUUCAAUAAAUCGACUUUAAAGUGGAAGUCAUAAUUGUUUUGAUCUUGAUCCAAUUACUUUUGAAUACUAACUACGUGAAUGUCUAAAAUCUUGGUGGAGAACAUGGAUUAAAAGAGAGCAAAUGAAAAUUACAAUAUUGGCAACAAUGCGGAAGAGCACGAGGCUCGUUGUAGAAGGUGCUGAAUAUUCAAAGUUGAAUUCAUGAUUUGCGGGAAACAGUGCUAUGAAGUGAUGAUUAUUCAGACCAAUUCUUGGAAUGUCCCAGUUGCCCCUGAAAGAUAAUAAUCUUUUGAGCAAUAAAUAUUUGAAAUUUUUUAAUUCGUAAAUUUUCUUAAUGAUAGUUUAUUAAAAAUCUUAUUAAUUAUAGAGUUAAAUACCUAUACACCGGACUUGUAAAAAUUAAUAUAUGCGUGAAAUUAUAAUUGAUGAAUGGAUUGAUUGUGUAUGUUUUGAAAGUAAUAUAUGGGUAUCACAAUACAACAUCCAGUAUUUAAAAAAAAUUACUUUAAAAAUUAAAUAAUAUUUAUUUAAAGAUAUUUUUAUAUUAAAAUAGCAAUAGAUUUUUUUUUACUAAAAAGUGACAGUGUUUUUGAAAUAGGUAAAGUAUUUUUUUUUUGGCGAAAUUGAGUUAUGUCACAUGACAUUAUAUUAAUCUAUUUUCACUAUCAAUUUUUAAAGAAACAAAAUUAAUUUAUGAGAAUCAAAUAAAACAAAAUAAAUUAAUAUCAAGCAAAAUAUUUUUUUUAAUCAAGUAAAAUCUCAAUCUUAAUAAUUAAAUUCAAAACACAUUAAUUUGAUUGAACUUUCUGAAUAAAAGUUUUCAAUAAAGAACAUAAAGAAGUAGGAUUUUUAACAUAAUUAGAUAGCAAUUUUGACUAGAUAUUAUUUUGAAGGAGAAAAAAAUAAAAGAAUACUCUAGAGACAAGACCGCAAAAUAAAUAAAUAUAUAAAAAGAUACUAGGUAUGCAUUCGUUGGUAUGAUAUAAGUAAUGUUAAGCCUUGCUUGCCUCUAAAAUCUCUCAUAUAGCCGCACCUUCUCAUCUUCUCAAUCACACACUUUCGCCUCCUAUCUCCGCCUUCACUUUCUUCUCUAUCUCCUGCAGGUAUCAACGCCGCUUGGGUAUUUCUCUUCCCUUUUUCUAUUUUUUUUUUAUUAAUUUUGUUUAUAUUAUUCGAUUAUUUAUCUAUUUUUCUGCUCCUUUAUUUAAUUUCAAUUAUCUACUUUUAUAUCUCGAGUAAAACCUAGAUCGUGUAAUCGGAAUCGUGUCGUCUUAGCUCCAUCGAAUAUUGAUUUCAUAGAUUGAUUUGUUUGUUUGUUUGGAGUUUUUUUUUUUCAAUCGAAUUUGAUUUCGAUAAGAUGUGAUUUAGAUCUGAAUAUUUAUCGACUAUAAUCUGGUUUCGUCGUUUUAUGUCACGAUUUUCCGUUAAACGCGAGCAUUUGGUAAUAUAUAUUUUCGUACGUUUUUUAUUCGAUUUGAAAAGUGUUGAUUGAAUGAAUAUAAUCUGUUUUUAUAUUUAGGUUUUAUUUAUCGUGUAAUUUUUUUAGGUUUAGGUUUGAAAUUAAUCCUGUUAGAGGUGUUUGAUAUAUCUUUUAAUCUGGAUUGAUUUUUUUAACGGUGAUGGUUUUUGUAGAGCAGAAUGACAUCCUCUAAUUUAUGUAGCAGAUUACUGUGUGUGGAAAAUGGAUUAAGACUUAAUUGUUAUUGUUUUGUUGAUGUUAAACAUAACAUGCUUAAACGAUUUAUAAGCUCUUUUGCAAACUGCUUUAUACAAAAGAUUGUUGUUAUUCAUGGCUUCAGGAUUGGGAAAUCUGGUUGUAAUAAUUAUGAAGUAUAUUAUUUCUUGUCGUAUUUGAUAUUUGUUUGUGUUGUGGCAAGUGUUAUGUGCUGUGUUAUUCAUACAUUAAUGUUGACUUCAUUUGGAAGUCUUAAUAUCAAAUAUGUUGACUUCUUUUGGAUGUGUUAAUAUCAAAUAUUUCACUAUCGUAAUUGAAUAAUGUAACUUCUGGUUGUUGAUUCAGGAUUCCUGCAAGUUCUGCGGUAGCAGAUUCGAGGUGAAGGUGAAGUUGCAGUUUCUUUCAUGUUUGAACAAGCAAUCAUCCAUUUGGGAGCAAUUGAGUUGCUUGGAGAGUGUUUUUCUUCAUCUAGGAAAAAGAACAAGCCUUUGCCGAGAAAACUCAGCUGUAUGCAUCGUGCCCCUUACCAGGAACAUACUGAUCUCUGUAGUUUCUAUUUGCAGCCUCCCGUAAUCUCUGAAGGAGAGUCUUUGUGAUCAUAAUCAGCAAGCAAAUCUUUGAAUUUCAGCAUUUGCUGAUUGUGAUAUCUAGUCUGUUUCUGAGAUUUCCUUCAUUUAAGUCAUCAUGGCCUUACAGAACAUUGGUGCUGGAAACAGCGAUGAUGCCUUCUACAGGUAUAAGAUGCCAAGAAUGAUUACAAAAAUUGAGGGCAGGGGUAAUGGCAUCAAAACAAAUAUUGUCAAUAUGGUUGAAAUUGCAAAAGCUUUGGCAAGGCCACCCUCUUACACAACAAAGUAUUUUGGCUGUGAACUUGGAGCACAGUCAAAGUUUGAUGAGAAAAACGGGACUUCCCAUGUCAAUGGAUCGCAUGAUACUGCAAAACUUGCUGGUCUUCUCGAGAGUUUCAUUAAGAAAUAUGUCCAGUGUUAUGGUUGUGGAAAUCCUGAAACUGAGAUCUUGAUUACUAAGAGUCAGAUGAUCCAGUUGAAAUGUGCUGCUUGUGGUUUUGUGUCUGACGUCGAUAUGAGAGACAAGCUGACUACCUUCAUCAUUAAGAAUCCACCUGAAGUGAAGAAAGGGUCCAAAGACAAGAAGGCCAUGAGGAGAGCUGAGAAGGAGAGGCUGAAGGAAGGUGAAGCGGCUGAUGAGGAGCUUAAAAAAUUGAAGAAAGAGGUCAAGAAGAAAGUAACUUCAAAGGAAAGCACCACAAAAUCAAGCUCUUCAAGGAAAAAAGGGAAUGGGUCUGAU